UUGCCACCAUCUCUCGAGUUUUAUUCUACCUUCCUGCACAUUAAUUUGCUGCACAUUUCGCUUCAAUUCCUUUUCCUUCGACCAGUUAUUUUUUGUGUGAAACUUUGCAAAGAUGGAAUUACUCGAUGAAGGACAAAUUAAAAUCUUAACGAACGCUUUCAAAGCCUUCGACACUGAUGGAUUUGUGCUCACUCAGGAUAUCGGAACUAUUCUUGAGAUGUUAGGACACAAGUUGGACGAUCAAACCCUGAAAUCCGUGAUAAGGCCCCAUGAUCCAAGGCAAACAGGAAAAUUAAAUUUUGAACAAUUCUGCAGUCUUGCUGGAGAUUAUGUGGACGUUGAGGAAGAUCAAGAUGCAAUUCGAGCUGAAUUGAGAGAAGCUUUCUUGUUGUAUGACAAAUAUGGUGUUGGCUACUUAACUACGGAAGUUCUCAGAGAUAUUCUGCAUGAGCUCGAUGACAAGAUUAGCGAGGAAGAUCUCGAUAUGAUGAUUGAUGAAAUUGAUGCAGAUGGUUCAGGAACUGUUGAUUUUGAAGAAUUUAUGGAAGUGAUGACUGGUGAGUGAAGAAAGAACAUAUUUCUUCAUAACACUUUGAAUUAUGUAUGGCUUUUACGGCUUUUUACUAAAGUGUAAAUAUAGUGAUUGUGCUUCUGUCGCGAUGUAGUCUUGUGUCAAAUGUAUCAUGUAUGUUAAAAAAAAAUGUUAAAUUAAACGCACGAACCAGGACAUCAAAAUUACAAAGCUGACAGCAAUUUAUCCCAACAUUAAUUUAUUUGAGAACAAUAAAUGAAAGAUAAAUGCGAA